AUAUCAAUAAGCGGAGGAAAAGAAACUAACAAGGAUUCCCCUAGUAACGGCGAGUGAAGUGGGAAAGGCUCAACUUUAAAAUCUGGCCCUUUCAGGGUCCGAGUUGUAGUCUCGAGAAGCAGCGUCCGCGCCGGACCUUGGACAAGUCGGUUGGAAAACCGCGUCAGAGAGGGUGACAAUCCCGUUGAUGCCAAGGACGCCCGUGUGCAUUGUGGCCUGUUUUCCAAGAGUCGAGUUGUUUGGGAAUGCAGCUCAAAUUGGGAGGUAGAUUCCUUCUAAAGCUAAAUAUUGGCGAGAGACCGAUAGCGCACAAGUA
rnacentral:rRNA from 1 species